rnacentral:piRNA from 1 species
UAGGCUUAGUACCUGGUGACAAAAUAAUCU